UUUCUUUUAACAAAGGGCAGACAUUCCGAUCAAUGCUUCCUUCACUUCUUGAAAUGGGUUAUCAGGUGAGAUUUGGUGUUCUAGAGCUGGAGCUUUUGGUGUUUCUCAGUCUGGGAAACGAGCAUUCAUAUGGGCAACUUGUCCAGAAGAGACACUCCCAGAGUGGCCCGAGUCAUUGCACGUCUUUGCAGGCCCAGAACUGAAAAUCACAUUACCAAGGGAUGUACAGUAUGCUGCCGUCAGGAGUACAGCUGGGGGGGCACCCUUCCGUGUAAUAACUGUGAGAGAUACAAUUGGAGAUCUCCCACCUGUUGGAAAUGGAGCACUAAAACAGAGAUGGAUUAUGGAAAUGAUCCUGUGUCAUGGUUCCAAAAGCAAAUCCGAGGGAACAUGUUUGUCUUGAGUGAUCACAUAUCAAAAGAAAAGAAUGAGUUGAACUACAUCCGAUGCCAAAGAAUUCCAAAGCGCCCAGGUGCUGAUUGGCAUGACAUACCAGAAGAAAAGGUGCUUGCCGAAGCGCCCAGGUGUAUUGUCUUACAAUGUCUACAAAAUGCAGGUUAAACUGUCUACUGGUCAAAUGGUGGAUUUGAUACCUCGGUGCUUGCCAAACACAGCCAAUAAGCACAAUCAGUGGAAAGGACUGUUUGGACCUGAUGUACCAAGUAUGUGUUAUGAUUGUUAGUCGUUACAACUUACCUGGAUUGACAGGAGAGCAUUGUGAAGCUAGGCUACUGAUGUCAACUGCAGCAGAAGCAUUUCUACAAAGCUUUGGAGCAUUAUUAGGAUAUUCAGAUCUCCUGCAGCAACAUGGAAAAGAAACGAAUCAAAGGCAGGAAGCUAUAGGUCCCCAGAUGCAUCAAAGUGAGGAGUAAGAUGCUAUAUGCAAGCUUCAAGGACAGGUUAAAGAGAGAUGUAAAUGGAUUUCAAGUGGAAUUGAAAGCUACAGACCCCAUCAAGAUGAGCAUUAAUAUCAUCAAGGUCCGGGCUCUUCACCCUUCAUCAUUUUUUUUUCCUUUCUUUCUUUAUUAAAAAAUCCCAACCAUCAAUAUCUUUCGCUCAAUUCUCUUCUUCUUCUUCUUCUUUUGGCAUUUUUUCUAUUGAUAAUAUAUGUGAUUCAAUGUCUAGAAUGGCAACUUCAUUUAGUUUAAUGGUUUAUGUUUCCUGGAUGUAGCUGCAAUGAGGUGAGGGGCCUUUGUAUUUUGGAUAUAUAUGGUGUGUUUUUUU